rnacentral:rRNA from 1 species
UNGGGAAUAUUGCACAAUGGGCGCAAGCUGAUGCAGCAUGCCGCGUGUAUGAUGAAGGCCUUCGGGUUGUAAGUGCUUUCAUCGGGGAGGAAGGCGUUAGUGUUAAUACCUUUGCGCAUUGACGUUACCCGCACAACAAGCACCGGCUUACUCCGUGCCAGCNGCCGCGGUAAUACGGAGGGUGCAAGCGUUAAUUGGAAUUACUUGGCGUAAAGCGCACGCAGGCAGUUUGUUAAGUCAGAUGUGAAAUCCCCUGGCUCAACCUGGGA